rnacentral:siRNA from 1 species
AAUCCGGUGAAUUCAGUGGUU